UACGAAGGGGGCUAGCGUUGCUCGGAAUGACUGGGCGUAAAGGGCGCGUAGGCGGAUGUUACAGUCAGGCGUGAAAUUCCUGGGCUCAACCUGGGGGCUGCGUUUGAUACGUGAUGUCUGGAGUUCGGAAGAGGGUCGUGGGAAUUCCCAGUGUAGAGGUGAAAUUCGUAGAUAUUGGGAAGAACACCGGUGGCGAAGGCGGCGACCUGGUCCUGG
rnacentral:rRNA from 1 species